rnacentral:rRNA from 1 species
AGUGAACGCUGGCGGUAGGCCUAACACAUGCAAGUCGAACGGCAGCACAGUAAGAGCUUGCUCUUACGGGUGGCGAGUGGCGGACGGGUGAGGAAUACAUCGGAAUCUACUUUUUCGUGGGGGAUAACGUAGGGAAACUUACGCUAAUACCGCGUACGACCUACGGGUGAAAGCAGGGGAUCUUCGGACCUUGCGCGAUUGAAUGAGCCGAUGUCGGAUUAGCUGGUUGGCGGGGUAAAGGCCCACCAAGGCGACGAUCCGUAGCUGGUCUGAGAGGAUGAUCAGCCACACUGGAACUGAGACACGGUCCAGACUCCUACGGGAGGCAGCAGUGGGGAAUAUUGGACAAUGGGCGCAAGCCUGAUCCAGCCAUACCGCGUGGGUGAAGAAGGCCUUCGGGUUGUAAAGCCCUUUUGUUGGGAAAGAAAAGCAGCAGGUUAAUACCCCGCUGUUCUGACGGUACCCAAAGAAUAAGCACCGGCUAACUUCGUG